rnacentral:rRNA from 1 species
GAUGAACGCUGGCGGCGUGCCUAAUACAUGCAAGUCGAGCGAACAGACGAGGAGCUUGCUCCUCUGACGUUAGCGGCGGACGGGUGAGUAACACGUGGAUAACCUACCUAUAAGACUGGGAUAACUUCGGGAAACCGGAGCUAAUACCGGAUAAUAUAUUGAACCGCAUGGUUCAAUAGUGAAAGACGGUUUUGCUGUCACUUAUUGAUGGAUCCGCGCCGCAUUAGCUAGUUGGUAAGGUAACGGCUUACCAAGGCGACGAUGCGUAGCCGACCUGAGAGGGUGAUCGGCCACACUGGAACUGAGACACGGUCCAGACUCCUACGGGAGGCAGCAGUAGGGAAUCUUCCGCAAUGGGCGAGAGCCUGACGGAGCAACGCCGCGUGAGUGAUGAAGGUCUUCGGAUCGUAAAACUCUGUUAUUAGGGAAGAACAAAUGUGUAAGUAACUAUGCACGUCUUGACGGUACCUAAUCAGAAAGCCACGGCUAACUACGUG